GCCCAGGUAGCUCAGUUGGUAGAGCACAGCUCUCGUAAAGCUGCGGUCGUCGGUUCGAGUCCGACCCUGGGCU
rnacentral:tRNA from 1 species